GAUUGGCUCUUCCAGGGGUCGGCAAACUUUUGAGACGGAUGUGGCUCGCGAGCUGCAGUUUGCUGACCACUGCUCUAAGGUUUUGCAGAUUGGCCAGGUGAGAGGAAGUUACCCUGUGAACCGUGCCCUGCAUCUUCCUUCUCAGAUGCCUGCUGCACGCCUCCAUCAGCAGCACUGCCCGGGAUCCCUAGGGAACAUGGUUCUAGUGAGCCGUGUCCUCUUCAUGUUCAUUGCUCUCAGAGCUACAUCAACACACAAAUACACCUCACCCCCCACACACACACACACAUGCACAUCCAGACAGCCUGAAUAUGGGGAGGGGAGUCCCAGAGUCAUGGUGCUGGCAUUCGCCUGCCCAUCCCUGACCCUAGCAGGCUCUACUGCCUCUGUCCCCACCAGCCAGCACCCACAGUGCAGCCAUGCCUGGAGCUAGGCACCUAAACAUGGAACCUGACCCCUACAUUUGUAUAUAUUACAGGCUGGGUCUCAGAUGGAUGUGUGGGUCCUCACACAGUGAGGCCUGCCCACCACAUCCCCAUAGUCAUGUUUAUAGGCCCUUUAUUGUGCACCAGACACUGUGCUGGGCUCUUAGAGACGUUUUUGCAAUUUACCUCCAAAUUGGAAUGUGUAGUUCGUUAACAAUAUUUCGAUUUUACAGGCAAGCAAACAGCACAGAAAGGUGAAGAAAUUGGCCCCUAAUCAUAAAGCUUUGUAAGUGGCAGAGCCAAGAUUUGAAACCAGCAGUCUGGCUCUAGAUCCCAUUCUCAAAACUAUAUUUAUUCUGACCUAUUUAUCCUGAGGAUUUCAUGGUGCAAAUUUGUACUGUGGACUCUACAGCUUUUCUCCCCAUGCUGGUUAGAGGUGACUUUCCAGCCUCACCUCUUUUAUCAGGAAACAAUGAGCACUGAGAAGAGCCUUCUGGAACUCCCAGGAGAGAUCCUGUCAGCUACGUGAAGAGGAAGGGGCCACCGGAUCUAUCGUGUUUAGUGCUGAGGUGGGAAUGGUGUGGAAGGGCAGAGUGUUACGGAGCCUUCGGAGGCCCCAGCUGAGGACGAGGGCACCUUAGGAGGCAGAGAGCACAGAAUGGGUGGGCAGCUGUGGCUUCAAAUCCUGGUCCUGCCACUUUAGCAGAGUGACCUUGAGGAAGUGAUUUCACAGCUCUGAUCCUGAGUUUUCUGUCUAUAAAGUGGGGACAUUAACAUGAAUCUUACAGCAUUGUGUUGACAAUGAAAGGGAAAUAAAGUUUGCAAAAUGUGUAGCCCAGUGAGGGUAUAUAGUGAGCUUUAAAAGAAGAUUGGUUUCCUAAAUUCUAGUGUUUUUAAGUGGUACAAGUACCAAGGUGUCAGGUCUUGGAGUUGCUGCCCAAAUACCAGCAAUUGCUUGAGAGUGGAUCCUGCCCAGGGAACUCACUGCUGCCUAACAGGGGUCUGCACUUAGAGCUUUUUAAGCCCCAGUUAGGGCAUUUCUUUAGGUUACUAUCAGUUGACACCUUUUGGGAAAUUACUUAGCAGAAGCUGAGAUCAAAGAACUCAGGUGACACUAGAGAUAGAUACCAGACUGGAGAAGAGGGCAUUAAGAUAGGAGAGUCUUUUACACCUACUAUACUGGUGAUCUUUAAAUACUAGAACAUUUCAGUUUUGGUGAGGUUGUGGUGAAAUUGGCACAAGCCUGUGCUCUUGGUGACAUUUGUAGAGGCAGCCUAUAAAAUGACCCCCACCGAUCCUUGCUUCUGUAUUCUUGGCCUAGUGUCAUCCUCUCCCUUACUCCCCUUGGUUCGAAACAAUGGACUAUGACAACACUAAGGGGAUGUCACUUCUGUGAUUAAGUUACAAAAGAUUGUGACUUCUGUCUUGCUAGCAGAAUGUUAUCUUCUUGGACACAUGCUUUGAUGAAGCAAGUUGCUCUGUUGGAGAGGCCCACGGGGCAAGGAACAAAGGGCGGCCUCUGACCAACAUCUGGCUAAGAAUUGAGGUCAUUGGUCCAACAACCCAUGAGGAAUUGCAUCCUGACAACAAUCUCGUGAACGUGAAAGAGAAUCCUUACCCAGUGGAGCUUUAAAAUGAUACCCCAGCCUCAGCGACACCUUCAUCACAGCCUGUGACACACCCUGAAGCAGAGGAUACAAAAAGACAAGUGUUGUUGUUGAUGAUAAUGACUGAAGACCUUUAACUCACUGGGAUGCUUGAGAGCUCCCAGACUGAGGCAGAAUGAGUAAGGAGGACUGAAAAAUGAUCUUCAAAGCGUCCACAGGUUGUUCCGAGCAAAGGCUAACGGAGGUGAGUCCUGGUGUCCCCCGGCGGGAUCCUGCCUGCUCUUUCCUCAGGUGCACCUUUCCUCCUCCUGCUCUGUUCUGCAACCUCUGCUCAGCCAGCUGCACUGAACCCUAGCAGGCCUGGGGGCACAAGCUCAUCUUUGCACUGCCUGGAGCCACUCGGCUCAAUGCCCCCCUGGCUCUGGACUUCUUCCAGUCUUGCCCCCUGGAGCCUUUGUUCCCCAGAGGGCCUUGUUCCCUGCUACAAGUCAAGGGCAAAUCGUAUCAACGGAUCCAGGCUCGUGUUCUCACCCACCUCUAUCCUCCCCCUCCCCCACCUGCCGCUCAAGAUGGUUGCGAGCAUAGGUUGCUGCUCCCCUGCACUGCAGACAUGGGGAAGGGCUGGAGGGCGCUUAGCUGGGGUCCAGGCAGAGGAACAAAUGAACCAGAGUCCACAUGGAGAGAGGGAAGUGGACAGGCAUCCACACACCACACGGACGGCGGUGUCACUGCUUUGGCGGUGUCACUGCUUUAUAAUCAGACCCUCUGAUUACAUUAUAGAUUUACUGUUGUCAUCAAACAAGACCUGCCCGAGUCUGACACCUGGACACUGUGUGGCUCCAUAGCCAUGGACAGUUCACAGCCUGGCCGUAUUUCCGCUUGCUUUCACACAGCAGUCAGGUAGACCUUAUCUGAUCACCGGCUCGGUUUUCCAAGACCUAAAGUCAAUGUCAGUAUUAAAUUUUCCCAGCGCCAUCCACAUGUGAAAAGAUGAAGGUCCUAGCCCUUUUUCCCACAGAGGGACUCCCUCACUUUCCUGGGUCCCUGAGCAUAAGCUAGCUUCAGAGCUACACACGGGAGGCCGCUGCUGGCUCCCACUGCUCAUGAGUGGCCCUGCAGGCCUAGAACAUGUGUCUUUGUCAAUUUGCUGAGACAGGAAAGAAGUGGAAGCAGGGUCCUAGGAGACUGGUAUCCACUGGGGAGCCCUUGGCCAGGGGCCAAAUCUGUGCCGUUCCAGGAAGCCUUUGACCUCAGAACCAGACGCCUGGGUUAAGAUCCUGGCUCUGCAGCUUACUACUCUGGGCACGUUACUUACUCUCUUGUACCUCAGUUUCCCCAUCUGUAAAUGGAAAUAGUGACAAAGCCCUCUCCUGGGGUGGUUUUCAGAGUUUAGUAAGUUGAUAUUUGUAAAGCACUUUGAACAGUGCCUGGCACAGAGAUACAGCUUGAGGAAGUUGGGUAUAUUUUCAUUCCCCAAGGCACACUGGUUGGGAAGUGGCCUCAUGUGGCCCCUAUGGAAACGGCUCAGGCGAUUGUGAUGUAAGCCAGGGUUGGCAGUACUGCCCUCCACAGCAUUCUCAACCCCCCUGGCAGAGUCUUCUUCAUGUGUCUGACUCCCCCACUAGUUUGGGACCUCUCUAAGGCAGCAACAAGGCCAUCCCCACCCUCUUAUUUCCAGUAUCUGACAGAAUCAGCUUUCAGAAAGUGUUUGCAAACUACAUAGCUGAGUUGUGCUGGGUUGGAGAAGCUUGACACGUGGGCAGACUCCAGAGGCGCUAGCCUGUGAAGGCCAGCUCAGCCUACAUUUCGCAGGGGCCCACGGGGGUGAGGCUGCUGUGGCCAGGCCCCUGAACCCCAGUCUUGUCCCCUAUGGAUAAGGCACCUCAAAAGAGUCCCCCAGUGCCUCUGACAUUGCUCCCAGCAGCAGCUGAAGGCUGCCCUGAGGCAGAUGUUUCCAGGUCCAGACCAGCCUGAUGGCGCGUUGAUUGUACUGUGCUGGUCCCUUGGGAGGAAAGGUGUCCCAGCGUUGAGGUUUGGACUCAGCCCCCGCAGAGAAGGCAUGUCAGACAUCCUCCCUGUGCUUCAGAGAAGCACAGGCUCUCAGGGACCCCUCAGAAGUCGGGCCACAGCUACGCCGCCCUGGCCCUAUCGGGGCCUCUUUCUGACUGCAGACCCAUAGCUUCCUCCAUUUCCUAAUUCCCGUUGGACUCAUUUUGGAUCCUGCACCUAAGGCACUCCCUGCCAGCCAAAUGAAUGUCAGCAGCCAUCUGUUGCCCAAGCCAGUGGCAGCUGUUGGGCAAAUGCUUGCAUACAUCUGAAUUGAUUUUGUUUUGCCUUUUGAUAAGAUCUUCAGUUGAGCAAAAGGAGAUUUGCUAAAUUAUUCAGCGUUUACAGUAACCCGGUAACCUGAGGCAGGCAGAACUGACAGGCCAGGGAAAGGGCAGAGCAAAAAGCCUGGAGACAAUGAAGGAGGCCCAGCAAGCAGCAUGCCCUGUGGCCUUAGGAGCAAGCCACUGUGGUGGUGUAGCCGCAGGCUCACGGCCCCUAGAGACAGUACUGGGCCCAUGACCCCCUGACUGGGCUGACGCUGGGCUGGUCCUCAGCAGAGGGGGCAGAGUUGGCCUUUGGUGAUCACCGAGAUGGGCUGAGCUCUCAUGUGUACCCAGUAUUUCCCUAGGCCCUUGCAGGGAGUCUUGACCUCGGCCUGUUCUGCCCUGUCCCAUGUGGAACUCCCUCCACAGAACAACACCACGGCUCCCACGUAGGGAACAGCUCCUUUGUGCCAGGCUGUUUCCUUACAUUAUCUCAUUUAAUUGCCAAAAACUCGUUAAAGAAAGGCAAGUAUUAGUCCCUUGGUCCAUAUGGGAAGCAGAGGCUCAGAGAGGUUAAGUAACUUGCCUCACACAGCUGUUGUUGGUGGGGCCAGCAUGAGACCUCUGGAGCCGUAAUUCGGAGCCAGUGCUGUUUCUUCUAGCAAGGCUGCGGCCUCACUGGGGAAGUAGGGAUCACCCAGCGUUUCUAUAAUUGGGACAGCAGCACCUUUUUGUGAAGUGACAAAGCCUCCUGGAGACCCCAGGGAGCCCCACUUUCCUGCUGGGGCGUUCUUGGUGAACACAUAGGGCCCCCAGGAGCCCCAACUAGAGCAUUUCAGUCACUGAGUCACUGCUUUGUCAUACAGAGAUAUGAUAAAGGUCUUGCUUCUGAAAGUUGAAUUCCUCAGAAAACUUCCUCUAAGGAGAGAAAAAUGGAGAGUGACAUUAUGUCAGCUUUCGGAAAAGGAAGCUUCUGAACCACUUGGGGCACUUGUUACAUGCAGAUUCCCAGGCCAACUUAAGAACUACUGAAUUAGACCAUGUGUGGGCAAGACCCAGGAAGCUGCAUUGUUCACAAGCUUCUCCCUGAUGUGAUUUGUGUGCACCCUAAAGUCUGAGAAUCGCUGCUUUUGGAUAAGCUAACAUUUAGGUUAGUGUUCUUUAAAUGCCUAAGGAGUAGAGCAUCUCAAAUCCAUGCAGCCCUUUCUGAGAGAAAAGGCUUCGGCCAUAUUUGAAGCAAAGGUGCCCUGCAGGAACCACGUGGCCCACCCAUGUGACCCCUGCCCACCAAUGGAAGCUUUGAAGAACACACACACACACAGAGAAAUACAUCACGCCCCAGGCAGCAUUUGGAAGUCCAGCCCAAAUAAGGGUGAUAUAAUUCCCUGGCCCCAUCACAUUCUCUCUCACGUAGUUAAACCAGAGGUGCAGGGAAAGAGUUGGUCAUCCAUAGUGGGGCCUGAAAAGCCUUGAGACCCUAAGAGACUAGCAGGGAUGGAGUCCAUGCUGUGAGUGGGUUAUGCUCUUCGCCACCUGUGUGAACCUUGCAGUGGACCAGGUUCUGUUCUCAACUACUCCCGCCCCCUUUGAAGGUGGCCACAUGACCUGCUCGGGCCAUUGGAUUUGAUGGGUGGUAGGGGUCAUUUCCACGUGAAAGCAUUUGAGAGCCAGGCGUCUCCAUCUUCUCUUUCCCCAGUGGGCCUCCAGAUGUUGGGUCCCGAAGCGGGGAUGGUGUGGAGCAGAGACCUGUCAACCCAUGAUGGAUAUGUCUUGAGAUUGAAAAUAAAUCUUUGUGGGUUUAAGGCACAGAUUUGGGGUUGUUUGUGACCACCGAGUUAUGUCCCCCCUUCUGCUAUUCCACACUUUAGAGCCAAACCACCAUAAGGGUUAAACUCUGCUUGGACAAUUCAUGUAAUCUGAGCAUUGAACUAGGAGUGGCUCAUUAACAGGAGGUGAGAAGCUGCUCACUGGAAGCAAUCCUGCAGACUCUUAAUGCUCAGGCCUUCACAGCAUGAUGUCAGCUGAUGCCGCAAAGCCUUGCAGAAAAACAAACACCAAGAAAUGAUGGUGCAACACAGAGCUACUAAAAGUGCCUUGUUUAUGGGUGGAUGAGAGUGUCUUUGUGUCUUUCUUCUUUUUUCUCCAUUAAAAGAGCUCAAUUAAGGUGACAGUCCUGGAAUGUGAACAAAACACGACUGGGAAAACUCCAUUUCUCAACUUUCUGUUCCCCCACCCCCACUCUUCACACUCAUCUCUUUUAAAAGCUGAAAGCAAUGCACAAAUAGCAUCCUACACGGGAACCAGCCAAGGAGACAUGCAGUGAGUAAAUGCAUGAGCGAGGAAUGGGCAGCCUGGAUGGGGCAGUGGGCAGAAAUCCCAGCUGUUCAAGAGCACAUGGGCAGAGAUUAGUGCCCCGAGAUUAAAUCUGACCCGAGGGGCCAUGCCCUGGGAAGGGUGUGGCUGGGCGGACAGCUGCUGAGGUCACUGUUGAGAGCCCUGGACUGGUAGUGUUGUCCCUGACUUCAUGGUGACCACCUGGUGGGUGGGCGGGGAGUGGUGGUGGGCAGCUUGACAUAUAACUGCCACACCAUUACUUCAUGCAUCAGCACACAUUUAUUGAGCACCUACUAUUAUACCAGGCUGUGUUCUAGACUGUGGAAACAGCAAUGAUAAAAACCCCUGCCUUUAUGUUCUCAUGAGGGACACAGCCAAUAAACAAAGAAUAAGUAAUUACAGAGCAUAUGAGACGACAUAAGAGCUGCGGGUAGGACAAGAGAUCGGAAGUGCAGGGUUGGGGAAACGGGUGCUUUCCUAAGGAGGGUGACCAGGAAGGCCUACGGUGAGAAGGCGGCCUUGGAGCAAAGACCUGAACAAAGGGAGGGAGGGAGCCAAGAGGAAAUCUGGGGAAAGAGCAUUCCCGGCUGAGGGAAGGACGAGCAAAAGCUGAGGGGCAGGAGCGGUGCUGGCAGGUUUAAGGUUGGAGCAGGGGAGGGGUGGGGAGAGAAGCAGGAGAAGAAGUGAGAGAGGUGGGAAGGGGCUGGGUUCUGCAGGGUCUCAUGAAGAGGGACUGUCUUCAUCGGGAAACGUUUGUUUAUUUUCACUCUGUGUUGCAAUCCAUGUGUCUCCGGCCUGGGAAGCAGCCUGCCUGGAGAGGACCACUCCUGGCUGCCUGUGGCAGACACAGGCUGGUGGGGACAGCUCAGUUGCCACUUGGCCUCCUCAGGAGCCCCCAAGAUGGGGCCUCAAAAGUGCAGAUCACACCCAGCUUGCCUUUGAGUGGUGCUGUCACAAAGCAUGGAACCAAAGCUCUAACAGGACUGAGGGGUCAGAUGUGCCUCUGCCUCAGCAGCAUGUCACCUCACAGGCCUCUAUUUACGAUCCAGCUCCACCUCCAGGAAACCUUCACCUUGCCCUUUCCUGUCAGUGCUGCUGCAACUCCCUCCUCUUCCCCUGUCAGCACCUGAAUCACUCUGCCAGGUGAUCUCCUGCUUGCUUUCUCCUCCUAACAGGUCAGUUUCAAUCCCUUGAAUGAGAUCUCUAGAAAUGAUGGCAAAACAGCAAGGAGAAAGGAAGCUGGCUGUUGGGUUCCUAGUUCUGGUGACUGGACUCCGGGGUGGAGCAGAGCCAGGGGUGGAAGUGAAACAGCAGAUGGGGACAGGAGGCCAGUAUCCCCAGGCCAUGGAAGGAGGGUGGGAAAGGGGGGAGCUGGAUAAGGUGAGGGGAGUCUGCAGGCUUCCAAGGUGGCACAUCAUUGAGGUUUCCAGGUUACCUGUGCUGGGAGCCUGAGAGUUCCCGCGCACUGUCCCUGGCUUCUCCCGACAUUUAAACCAUAAACCAUGCCUUGUCCGCCUCGGGAGAAUGUGUAUCUCCAUAUGGUAGGCAGGUAUCUUGUGGGUCCUCUCACAUCUAUUCUCACUUAAUCCUCACAAGAACACUGCAAUGUGGAAAUUCUUACCUUUGCUUUACAGAGGAAAUGAGACAGGAAGGUUGGUUAAGUGCCUGCCCAUGGUCACACCCACCAGUGGGCUAAGUUUCAAAGGGCAGUAACCACUGCAAAGACAUGAUUUCUUCUGUUUCCUCCUGCCUCCCAGGCUCGAUAGGAGGACCUGUCCAGAGUAAAGCAGAAGCACCUUUCCGAGGUCUCACUGCACCUGCGAGAGUAGAUUACCUCCUUGCUUUCUCUGGCGGUCUGAAGAUCUUUACUGAUGGCCUGCAUUGCUUGAGGGGCUGUAGGCCAGGCCUGUGCUGGGAGCUCCAGGCUCAUAGCCUCCCCUCUGCCUCUGAGAGGGCGAGUCCUGACUGACCUCCCUCCCUGAGGACAGGAGGACUGAGGACAGAUAUAAUUCUUCCCGAGGUUCACAGCCUCAAGAGGCAUCACACAUUUCUGUCCGUGCUCUGGUGCCUCUGUCAUUUGCCUCAGAAGAGCAUGCCCUGGACACCCAUGGGCCCAAGGAGGAACAGAGGAAUGUGCAGCAGAUGUCAACCCAACCAGCAGCAUUCGCCUGAAUUCAGAGCCAGGAGUCCACAGCCUGGAGCUCAGCCUGAUCCGGAUGCCUUCCAGCCAACCACAGGCCCAUCAGAAAGAUGUAAACACUUAACUGUUCUACACCAUUGAGAUUUGGCAAAGACUCUGACAUAAAACUCCCUCAUGGAUCUUCUGUGAGAAUUAAAUGAAUACUAUAUGAAAAGACUAGACAAAAGUAAGGUGUUGAUAUUAGUUCUUAUUAAAGAAAUCAAGCCUCACUCAGCCAAACUGGAGAGAUAACCAGUAGCAUCCUUUGAACAAUGGCUACGUAAGGAGUGUUCACUAAUUAUGAUGAGAGAGAAAAAUCUGUAUUAUGAAAUGUUUUUAAAAGGAUCUACUUUUUAAGUUACAUUCAUAAAUAAAUGAUUGGCUAGCAAUCAUCAAAGUUCAAUACAUUCAAAAUUUUGUCUAUGGUGUGGUUGUAGCCUAGACCCUGGCAGGAGCUAGUUCUCCCACUGGCCUCUUGACACCCCCUGUAAAUUUUACUUUAGAUCUGCAAAAGAUCUAAAUGUUGAAUGUUUUCACUGAAACUGUCCUUUUUCUACAAUUUAUAAAAAGGGAAUGUGUUGGGAUCAGUGGUGUGCCAAAGGGUGGCCAUAGGGGCAAUGAUCCACCCUACUGCUGGCAAUAAGGUGUGCAUUGUCUGUACAGAAUUUAAAAACAAAUAAUAAAACCAU